CAGAAAACUCUUACUUUGGGCUGAGAAAAGAAAGUGUUUUAGGAGCUAUGGAUGCUGAAGAAAAGGUAGAGAGGGUUAGGGUAAAGAACGGUGCUGGAGCCAAUUUUCUCUCCCAGUUGCCAGUUACCCUGCCUCCUCGUAAUGAUGGUAUUUCUCUCCAUUUCAAUGGUGCUUUGGAAGUGGAUUCUUUUGGUUUCUUCCUGGAGGUUGAUACAUUCAUAUAUAUACUCUGGAAUAAUAUAUGCAUUUGGAUAAUUAAUAUAUUGCUUUCAGAGGGUAGGAAAGUAAAUGAACAGUGAUCCAUCACUGCCUCUCUUAGGGGAUUAGAUGUUAGAGGCCUUGAUGAAGGGCUGCAUGAGACGCUGCAUGCAGACGUUAGUGAUCUGGGUAUAGUCAUGAAUAUGGCCCAGUCACCUUAAAUUAGUCCACUUGACUGACAUAGCCUUUUCCCCCCAACAAUGCAGACUCACUGACUGGUUUGCCAGUAUUUGUUUGCCAAUCGUUUGCACGAUAAGGAAACAUCUUUGCUGACAGGUUGAAUGUGUUGAAUUUCUGGCAAAUACUCGGAAAUGUUUCUUUUUUGUUUUUCCAAAUCCUUAGCAUGUGCCUUCAAAGGUAUAUGCAGCUGUCACCUCCAAGGAAAUAGCAUGAGAAAUCCAAAGUACCAGGCUGCAGUCAGGAGCGAGGUUGAUUGCAGCAAUCUCCUCAACUACCUCUUCUCACUACCGGUGACUCCAUCUUGGGAUCCCUUUGGGCAGCAGCUGGGAAUGUAUACAUGGGCGAGACCAACACGGGACCUUGCCAUAGAGCUGCCUCCAAGGACACAGAGGGUGUCAGGUGUCACUGGUCCUUGUCCCUUGUCUCUGCCCUUCAUUAAGGCAAUAGAACUACAGAUAGUACCAUUAAGAUCAGUUUUCAGGACUAUAGGGAGGUUAAGGGAGGGGGCUAUUGGGUAAAGGGGGUAGACAUUUAGAGAUGUGUUAAGUUAGAAAUGAGAUUGAUACAAGGGUAUCCUGCAUUAUGCCAUGGACUAUAGCGGUGGGGAAGAACUUUAUUUAGCAAUAUAGCAUUAAGUUUAGUGAUGAGGAAUCUGAGAGUUGGAAAAGAUCAGUGACUUUUUCAAGAUCACCACGCGCAUCUCUCUGUUCUGCCAAUUACAUGCCCAUUUUGGUAAACAAUUAUAAAAAAGAAGGUUCUGUUUUGAAGAAAGGACAUCUUCAUAGUCUAGGGCAUACCUACAUUAUGAAAAUCUUCUUGGUGUGAAUAGAUUGAUUGGGUAUCUGAAUUCUUAUCUUGUCUCUGCUGGAGUGCCUUAUAUGAAAUUGUUUUUUUCCUCAUCCCAUUUAAUCAUUGAGCUACAUGAAAUGCACCCCAACUGUUUUUCACUAUAAAAUUGGGUGUCUUGGGUCAUUUUAUGUAUUCCUCUGUGAGAAUAAGAGUGCUAUAUUUACCUGUAUUCUUGUGUAGUUCCUAAUUACCUUCCAAAAGGUU
rnacentral:lncRNA from 1 species